GGAUGGUGACGACCGGCAUACGGGUGAGUAACGGGUAUGUAACCUGCCCAUAUCAGGGGGAUAGGCUCUUGAAAGAGAGAUUAAUACCGCAUAACACAAAGGGUUCGCAUGAAUUUUUUGUUAAAGAUUUUAUUGGAUAUGGAUGGGCAUGCUUUCCAUUAGAUAGUUGGUAAGGUAACGGCUUACCAAGUCUUCGAUGGAUAGGGGUUCUGAGAGGAAGGUCCCCCACACCGGUACUGAGACAGGGACCGGACUCCUACGGGAGGCAGCAGUGAGGAAUAUUGGUCAAUGGACGGAAGUCUGAACCAGCCAAAUCGCGUGAAGGAUGAAUGUAUUAUGUACUGUAAACUUCUUUUGAGGGGGAAUAAAACACAUUACGUGUAGUGUCUUGUAGGUACUCUUCGAAUAAGCAUCGGCUAACUCCGUGCCAGCAGCCGCGGUAAUACGGAGGAUGCGAGCGUUAUCCGGAUUUAUUGGGUUUAAAGGGUGCGUAGGUGGGUUAAUAAGUCAGUGGUGAAAUCUCGAUGCUUAACAUUGAAAUUGCCAUUGAAACUGUUAGUCUUGAGUUCAGACGAGGUAGGCGGAAUUCGUAGUGUAGCGGUGAAAUGCUUAGAUAUUACGAAGAACCCCGAUAGCGCAGGCAGCCUGCCAGACUGCGACUGACACUGAAGCACGAAAGUGUGGGUAUCAAACAGGAUUAGAUACCCUGGUAGUCCACACAGUAAACGAUGAAUACUAACUGUUUGCGAUAUUAAUGUAAGCGGUACAGCGAAAGCGUUAAGUAUUCCACCUGGGGAGUACGCCGGCAACGGUGAAACUCAAAGGAAUUGACGGGGGCCCGCACAAGCGGAGGAACAUGUGGUUUAAUUCGAUGAUACGCGAGGAACCUUACCCGGGCUCGAACGGUGUUGGAAUGAUUGUGAAAGCAGUCAGCUAGUAAUAGUCAAUAUCGAGGUGCUGCAUGGUUGUCGUCAGCUCGUGCCGUGAGGUGUCGGCUUAAGUGCCAUAACGAGCGCAACCCUUACCAUUAGUUACUAACAGGUUGAGCUGAGGACUCUAAUGGGACUGCCACCGUAAGGUGAGAGGAAGGUGGGGAUGACGUCAAAUCAGCACGGCCCUUACGUCCGGGGCGACACACGUGUUACAAUGGGUUGGACAAAAGGUCGCUACUCUGCAAAGAGAUGCUAAUCUUCAAACCAGCUCCCAGUUCGGAUUGGAGUCUGCAACUCGACUCCAUGAAG
rnacentral:rRNA from 1 species